rnacentral:rRNA from 1 species
UGACCGCUGGCGGCAUGCCUUCCACAUGCACGUCGAACGGUAACAGGUCUUCGGAUGCUGACGAGUGGCGAACGGGUGAGUAAUACAUCGGAACGUGCCCGAUCGUGGGGGAUAACGAAGCGAAAGCUUUGCUAAUACCGCAUACGAUCUACGGAUGAAAGCAGGGGACCGCAAGGCCUUGCGCGAACGGAGCGGCCGAUGGCAGAUUAGGUAGUUGGUGGGAUAAAAGCUUACCAAGCCGACGAUCUGUAGCUGGUCUGAGAGGACGACCAGCCACACUGGGACUGAGACACGGCCCAGACUCCUACGGGAGGCAGCAGUGGGGAAUUUUGGACAAUGGGCGAAAGCCUGAUCCAGCCAUGCCGCGUGCAGGAUGAAGGCCUUCGGGUUGUAAACUGCUUUUGUACGGAACGAAAAGACUCUGGUUAAUACCUGGGGUCCAUGACGGUACCGUAAGAAUAAGCACCGGCUAACUACGUG